rnacentral:rRNA from 1 species
GAUGAACGCUGGCGGCGUGCCUAAUACAUGCAAGUCGAGCGAACAGAUAAGGAGCUUGCUCCUUUGACGUUAGCGGCGGACGGGUGAGUAACACGUGGGUAACCUAUCUAUAAGACUGGAAUAACUCCGGGAAACCGGGGCUAAUGCCGGAUAACAUGUUGAACCGCAUGGUUCUACAGUGAAAGGCGGCUUUGCUGUCACUUAUAGAUGGACCCGCGCCGUAUUAGCUAGUUGGUGAGGUAACGGCUCACCAAGGCAACGAUACGUAGCCGACCUGAGAGGGUGAUCGGCCACACUGGAACUGAGACACGGUCCAGACUCCUGCGGGAGGCAGCAGUAGGGAAUCUUCCGCAAUGGGCGAAAGCCUGACGGAGCAACGCCGCGUGAGUGAUGAAGGUCUUCGGAUCGUAAAACUCUGUUAUUAGGGAAGAACAAAUGCGUAAGUAACUGUGCGCGUCUUGACGGUACCUAAUCAGAAAGCCACGGCUAACUACGUG